AGAGUUUGAUCCUGGCUCAGGACGAACGCUGGCGGCGCGCCUAACACAUGCAAGUCGAACGAGCGAGAGAGAGCUUGCUUUCUCAAGCGAGUGGCGAACGGGUGAGUAACGCGUGAGGAACCUGCCUCAAAGAGGGGGACAACAGUUGGAAACGACUGCUAAUACCGCAUAAGCCCACAGCUCGGCAUCGAGCAGAGGGAAAAGGAGCAAUCCGCUUUGAGAUGGCCUCGCGUCCGAUUAGCUAGUUGGUGAGGUAAUGGCCCACCAAGGCGACGAUCGGUAGCCGGACUGAGAGGUUGAACGGCCACAUUGGGACUGAGACACGGCCCAGACUCCUACGGGAGGCAGCAGUGGGGAAUAUUGCACAAUGGGGGAAACCCUGAUGCAGCGACGCCGCGUGGAGGAAGAAGGUCUUCGGAUUGUAAACUCCUGUUGUUGAGGAAGAUAAUGACGGUACUCAACAAGGAAGUGACGGCUAACUACGUGCCAGCAGCCGCGGUAAAACGUAGGUCACAAGCGUUGUCCGGAAUUACUGGGUGUAAAGGGAGCGCAGGCGGGAAGACAAGUUGGAAGUGAAAUCUAUGGGCUCAACCCAUAAACUGCUUUCAAAACUGUUUUUCUUGAGUAGUGCAGAGGUAGGCGGAAUUCCCGGUGUAGCGGUGGAAUGCGUAGAUAUCGGGAGGAACACCAGUGGCGAAGGCGGCCUACUGGGCACCAACUGACGCUGAGGCUCGAAAGUGUGGGUAGCAAACAGGAUUAGAUACCCUGGUAGUCCACACCGUAAACGAUGAUUACUAGGUGUUGGAGGAUUGACCCCUCCAGUGCCGCAGUUAACACAAUAAGUAAUCCACCUGGGGAGUACGACCGCAAGGUUGAAACUCAAAGGAAUUGACGGGGGCCCGCACAAGCAGUGGAGUAUGUGGUUUAAUUCGACGCAACGCGAAGAACCUUACCAAGUCUUGACAUCCUGCGACGGACAUAGAAAUAUGUCUUUCCUUCGGGACGCAGAGACAGGUGGUGCAUGGUUGUCGUCAGCUCGUGUCGUGAGAUGUUGGGUUAAGUCCCGCAACGAGCGCAACCCUUACUGUCAGUUACUACGCAAGAGGACUCUGGCAGGACUGCCGUUGACAAAACGGAGGAAGGUGGGGAUGACGUCAAAUCAUCAUGCCCUUUAUGACUUGGGCUACACACGUACUACAAUGGCGUUAAACAAAGAGAAGCAAGACCGCGAGGUGGAGCAAAACUCAGAAACAACGUCCCAGUUCGGACUGCAGGCUGCAACUCGCCUGCACGAAGUCGGAAUUGCUAGUAAUCGUGGAUCAGCAUGCCACGGUGAAUACGUUCCCGGGCCCCUUGUACACACCGCCCGUC
rnacentral:rRNA from 1 species